rnacentral:rRNA from 1 species
GACGUAGGAGGCGAGCGUUGUCCGGAUUCAUUGGGCGGAAAGAGCACGCAGGCGGUUUGGCAAGUCGGAUGUGAAAACCCGAAGCUCAACUUCGGGCCUGCAUCCGAAACUGCCCGACUAGAGGUAUGCAGGGGAGAACGGAAUUCCUGGUGUAGCGGUGAAAUGCGUAGAUAUCUGGAGGAACACCGGUGGCGAAGGCGGCAUCCUGGACCGACACUGACGCUGAGGAGCGAAAGCCAGGGGAGCAAACGGG